rnacentral:rRNA from 1 species
CCUACGGGAGGCAGCAGUAGGGAAUCUUCCACAAUGGACGCAAGUCUGAUGGAGCAACGCCGCGUGAGUGAAGAAGGCUUUCGGGUCGUAAAACUCUGUUGUUGGAGAAGAAUGGUCGGCAGAGUAACUGUUGUCGGCGUGACGGUAUCCAACCAGAAAGCCACGGCUAACUACGUGCCAGCAGCCGCGGUAAUACGUAGGUGGCAAGCGUUAUCCGGAUUUAUUGGGCGUAAAGCGAGCGCAGGCGGUUUUUUAAGUCUGAUGUGAAAGCCCUCGGCUUAACCGAGGAAGCGCAUCGGAAACUGGGAAACUUGAGUGCAGAAGAGGACAGUGGAACUCCAUGUGUAGCGGUGAAAUGCGUAGAUAUAUGGAAGAACACCAGUGGCGAAGGCGGCUGUCUGGUCUGUAACUGACGCUGAGGCUCGAAAGCAUGGGUAGCGAACAGGAUUAGAUACCCUGGUAGUCCAUGCCGUAAACGAUGAAUGCUAGGUGUUGGAGGGUUUCCGCCCUUCAGUGCCGCAGCUAACGCAUUAAGCAUUCCGCCUGGGGAGUACGACCGCAAGGUUGAAACUCAAAGGAAUUGACGGGGGCCCGCACAAGCGGUGGAGCAUGUGGUUUAAUUCGAAGCAACGCGAAGAACCUUACCAGGUCUUGACAUCUUUUGAUCACCUGAGAGAUCAGGUUUCCCCUUCGGGGGCAAAAUGACAGGUGGUGCAUGGUUGUCGUCAGCUCGUGUCGUGAGAUGUUGGGUUAAGUCCCGCAACGAGCGCAACCCUUAUGACUAGUUGCCAGCAUUUAGUUGGGCACUCUAGUAAGACUGCCGGUGACAAACCGGAGGAAGGUGGGGAUGACGUCAAAUCAUCAUGCCCCUUAUGACCUGGGCUACACACGUGCUACAAUGGAUGGUACAACGAGUUGCGAGACCGCGAGGUCAAGCUAAUCUCUUAAAGCCAUUCUCAGUUCGGAUUGUAGGCUGCAACUCGCCUACAUGAAGUCGGAAUCGCUAGUAAUCGCGGAUCAGCACGCCGCGGUGAAUACGUUCCCGGGCCUUGUACACACCGCCCGUCACACCAUGAGAGUUUGUAACACCCGAAGCCGGUGGCGUAACCCUUUUAGGGAGCGAGCCGUCUAAGGUGGGACAAAUGAUUAGGGUGAAGUCGUAACAAGGUAGCCGUAGGAGAACCUGCGGCUG